CCUUCGCUUUGAACGGAGCGCCGAGCAAUACACAAAGCCCCCAACACCUCACUCGUUUUCAAGAUAUUUUCUCAAUUUCUGAAUUCAGAGCAUACUUCACUACCCUCUUAGCUUCAAGAGAGCCUUAUAGAGCUUGCCGAUAGGGAAAAUCGUUGCUUCAUUGUUCAUUGCCGAUAGAGCUUGCCGUCACCUGCCGUCCAUUUCUCGCCGUCGCCGUUUUCCUUCAGAAAUAAUUCAGCACCAUUUUCCUAGAUGCUACAAAGCUGUCUGCAUGAUUGGACAGAGCUUUGUGUUGAAAUUAAUGGGAAGGCUAGGACAUGAUCUUAUUACUGCAAAGACAAGAUGUUUGUUCUCCCUUGCUUAUGGACCUUGUGAGCUGCAUCCAUUCUUAAAAAGAUUCCAAAUUCAUAGGGGAAAAUCCUUCUUUUCAUUCUCUGAUCUCCUAGAGAAAAGAGAUCAAAUUGUGAUUGCAACUGCACUUUCGCUUUCUGAAGACUUGAAAUCAUGUUCUCUUGGUGCUCAAAUCCAUUCUCAUGUCAUCAAGUUGGGGUUUUCUAAUGACAUUUUCUCACAGAAUAAUCUGAUUAAGACGUAUUUCAAAGUUGGAGCUUUGUCCAAUGGCUGUAAGGUGUUUGAGGAAAUGGAUGAAAAGAAUCUGGUGUCAUGGACUAUAAUGAUUUCAGGUGCAAUUCAAAAUAGUGAUUUUGAAUUAGGUUUAAAAAUUUAUCUGGAAAUGUUACGAGCUGGGAUGAAGCCAAAUGAGUUUGCUCUUGGCAGUGUGAUGAAGGCAUGUGCUAGUCUGGGAGGGCACACACUUGUUGUAGCCAUUCACUGUUCUGCUUUGAAAAUUGGGGUGGAGCAGAAUCCAUUUGUAAGCACAUCAAUUCUUAACAUGUAUGUUGAGUUAAAGGAUAUUGAAUCUGCUGAACUGGUUUUUCAUUGUGUGAAAAACCUAGAUGCUGGUUGUUGGAAUUCUAUGAUUGGAGGAUAUAUCAAAUGUAAACGUGACUUUAAAGCCUUGCAGUUGCUGACAUUGAUGCCAUAUGCAGGUUUGAAAAUGGACAUGUAUACCUUUGUAAGUGCUCUUAGGGGAUGUUCAAGUAUGGGAACUUUGCAAUGCGUAAAACAAAUUCAUGGAUUUAUUAUUCAAAGUAAAGUGGAAAGUAUUACUUCCAUAAUGAAUGCUCUUAUGGAUGUGUAUUUUAAAAAUGGUGAUGAGGACUCUGCUUUGAGGGUUUUUAAUCGGAUUCAAGAGAAAGACAUUAUCACAUGGAACACUGUAUUUUCAGGCUUUUCUCAGGAUGGAAAUGCAAGAGAGCUUGUUACUUUAUAUCAUAAUCUAAUGAUAAUAGGUGGGGAACCUAAUAAUGUCACUUUUACAGUGUUGCUUAGAAAAUGCGGAGAGUUGCAUAAUCUCAACCUUGGGCUUCAGUUCUAUUGUGUUUCCUUACGUGUUGGAUUAUUUGAUGAAGUCAGCAUCAUAAAUUCAGCAAUCAGUAUGUUCUCUAAAUGUGGGAAAAUGGAUAUGGCAUACACUGCAUUUUGCACUGCAUCUUUUAUUAACGUAAAUACUUGGAAUGAAUUAAUUUCUGGAUGUAUUAUAAAUGGUUUUUACGAAGAAGGAAUUAAAAACUUAAAUAAUCUACGAGAAUUGGGUUUUGAAGCAGAUGAAUACACCUACUCAAACACUCUAGAAGCUUGUUGCAGAUCUGAAAACCAAGAGAUUGGCAGACAACUUCAUUGUGACCUCCUCAAAUCCGGAUUCCAUUCUCAUAACUAUGUUUGCGGUUCAUUAAUUAAAUGUUAUAGUUCGUUUGGGCUACUAGAUGAUGAUUGCUACAAGUUUUUCAGUGAACCUGAGAAAUUAGAUUUAAUUUCUUGGGGAACCAUGAUUUCUUCACUGGCUCACCAAGGCCUUAAUCAUGAAGCUAUCAAUUUUUUACAACUGCUUAUGAAAGCUGGUGAAAGGCCUGAUGAUUUUAUUUUGGCCAGCAUUUUAAAUAGUUGUGCUAAUAUUGCAGCUUAUCGACAAGUGAAAUGUUUUCAUGCUUUAGUUAUAAAAUUGGGAUGUUGUGUGUAUCCAUUUGUUGCAAGUGCUCUAGUAGAUGCCUAUGCAAAAUGCUCAGACAUAGAGGAUGCAAGAGUGGCUUUUGACCAGUCUUUCAAAUUGCGUGAUGUUGUUAUAUAUAACACCAUGAUCAUGGCUUAUGCACACCAAGGUCUUGUUGUCAAAGCUAUGGAUAUCUUUGAGAUGAUGAAAUCAGCUAAUAUACAUCCUAGCCAAGCUACAUUCAUCUCGUUGAUAUCAGCUUGCAGUCAUAAUGGUCUUAUCAAUCUAGGCUGUUCCCUCUUUGAAUCAAUGGGUUUAGAUUAUGGCUUGAGACCAUCUCCUGAAAUUUAUGGUUGUUUAGUUGAUAUGCUCUCAAGAAAUGGUUACCUUGAAGAUGCUAAAUGUGUGAUCGAAGCGAUGCCAUUUCCUACUUGGCCAGCUAUUUGGAGAACCUUAAUCAGCGGUUGUAGGAUAUACGAAAAUAGAGCAUUAGGGGAAUGGGCUGCUGGGAGGUUACUUCAGUUAUUUCCAGAAAAUGAGGCAGGUUAUGUACUGCUAGGAAAGGUUUACUCUGAAGGUGGUAGUUGGGAGGAUGCUACUAACUUGAGGAGGAAAAUGACUGAAGGAGGUAUUGCAAAAGUUCUGGGGUAUAGUUGGAUUGAGACAUAAACUGAGUUCAGAGUUUUUGAAGAAGCUAGAGCUGUGUAGGCCUGUGUCAUUGCAGACUUGUGAGAAGGGAACAAAGCGGCUAUGGCUUCCUAUUGCUGUAAUUCUUUUCCAACAAUAUCUCAUUUCAUUCCAUCAGAUUUCUUCAGUCCGUUCAAAGCUCCACAGCUUCUCUACGGG